rnacentral:rRNA from 1 species
CGUAAUCGGAAUGAGUACACUUUAAAUCCUUUAACAAGGAUCCAUUGGAGGGCAAGUCUGGUGCCAGCAGCCGCGGUAAUUCCAGCUCCAAUAGCGUAUAUUAAAGUUGUUGCGGUUAAAAAGCUCGUAGUUGGUUCUGCGUGCCGCGCUGUCGGUUCGCCGCCUGUCGGUGUAACUGGCAUGUCGCGGCAUGUCCUGUCGGUGGUGAGCGGGUUGCCCGGUGCUGCUUUGGCUUUUUAAAGAAGCUGAAGUUUUGUACCGUGUGUGUACCCGUUUGCCGAUCUCCUACUCCGGUGCUCUUAAACGAGUGUCGAGGUAGGCCGACACGUUCACUUUGAACAAAUUAGAGUGCUUAAAGCAGGCUGAAAUAUCUGCCUGAAUAGUGGUGCAUGGAAUGAUAAAACAGGACCUCGGUUCUAUUUUAUUGGUUUUAGGAAUAUGAGGUAAUGAUCAAUGUGGACUGGCGGGGGCAUUCGUAUUGCGACGUUAGAGGUGAAAUUCUUGGAUCGUCGCAAGACGCACUAGAGCGAAAGCAUUUGCCAAGUAUGUCUUAAUUGAUCAAGAACGAAAGUUAGAGGUUCGAAGGCGAUCAGAUACCGCCCUAGUUCUAACCAUAAACGAUGCCAGCCAGCGAUCCGCCGAUGUUCCUUUAAUGACUCGGCGGGGAGCUUCUACCCGGGAAACCAAAGCUUUUGGGUUCCGGGGGAAGUAUGGUUGCAAAGCUGA